GAUGAACGCUGGCGGCGUGCUUAACACAUGCAAGUCGAACGAUGAACCGGGUGCUUGCACUCGGGGAUUAGUGGCGAACGGGUGAGUAACACGUGAGCAACCUGCCCCUGACUCUGGGAUAAGCGCUGGAAACGGCGUCUAAUACUGGAUAUGUCCCGUCACCGCAUGGUGUGCGGGUGGAAAGAUUUUUCGGUUGGGGAUGGGCUCGCGGCCUAUCAGCUUGUUGGUGAGGUAAUGGCUCACCAAGGCGUCGACGGGUAGCCGGCCUGGGAGGGUGACCGGCCACACUGGGACUGAGACACGGCCCAGACUCCUACGGGAGGCAGCAGUGGGGAAUAUUGCACAAUGGGCGGAAGCCUGAUGCAGCAACGCCGCGUGAAGGAUGACGGCCUUCGGGUUGUAAACCUCUUUUAGCAGGGAAGAAGCGAGAGUGACGGUACCUGCAGAAAAAGCACCGGCUAACUACGUGCCAGCCGCCGCCGUAA
rnacentral:rRNA from 1 species